CAUAUCUGACUGAUGACAUAUAGUUCAGUUGAUUGCAACUGUGAUAACUCAACUGUGAUAUUAAAAGGUCUUUCACCCCUAACUGAUUUUUUUU
rnacentral:snoRNA from 1 species